ACGAGCUUCGUUGUGGGACAUGAUACCGCGAGAGGUGGUCAAAACAAUGACACCGACUUGACGAGAGGGCAAAAGUUGGUUGACCCACUUCUCAAUAUCCUUAAGCUUAACGUUGAAACGGGGAGAGAUAACACCGCACUUGUUAAUACGACCAUUCAACUGGAUAACAAUUUUGCCAGAACGGUGGUCGUCAAUUUCCGUGAAUUCGUCAAUGUAGCCAUGCUUUUGCAUGACAGUCAAAAACUUGACGAUAACCUUAGAGGAAGGACGGAUGAGCACUUGGCGACGUCCACGGCGCUCAGCGUUGACGAUAUUGUUUAAACAAUCAGCGAGAACAGAUUGACGAACCAUUUCUGCAAAUUGCUGCUGGUAUGAGAGAAGUUUUGUUUCGGCAUAGGAGCAUGUUUGUUCUCAAAAAAAGCAGUCACAUGUCUAC